rnacentral:lncRNA from 1 species
ACAAUAGUUUGAUUGAUUCAGUGCAAAGCGUGCCUCAGCUCACUUGUUGGAGUCAGGAGAAGACGGGUUGGAGUGAAGGAGACCUUGAUGGAUCUCAGUUGGAGAUUUUCUUUUCUUGUUUUGUAGGCACAAGCACAACGUUGUGUGAUCUUGCUCAGGUGACAGUUGGUCUCCGUUAUUUUUUCUAUGGUUUCUGGGUCAGGAGUUUCUGGUAGGCUUCGCUCACACGAGGAGAGUUAACUGCCAAGCUUGAAUUUUGUGCAGUGUCUACAAAAGUAGCAUACUUAGAGUGGGGAGACUUGUGUUUGUGUUAUUCUGUUUUAGGUUUUGUUUGGAAGUUGCACUCUCAGAUUACUGUUGACCUGGGCAUUUCAUAUUGUUUCUUCAUGGUUGGUUUCUCAAAUUGUUUAUGCUGAUGAGUGUUGCACAAAAUUUGGUGUCAAAUGCCUUUUGACAUGUAUUUUUUCCUGAGCUG